rnacentral:rRNA from 1 species
GAUGAACGCUGACAGAAUGCUUAACACAUGCAAGUCUUUGGCGAAGCUGUGCUUGCACAGCCUAGCCAAGGCGGACGGGUGAGUAACGCGUAAGGAACUUGCCCUGCAGUCAGGGAUAACAGACGGAAACGACUGAUAAGACCUGGUAAAGUCAGGCGGACUCAUGUCCAGCCUGAUGAAAAGAGAUGCUGCAGGAGAGCCUUGCGUCCUAUUAGCUUGUUGGUGGGGUAACGGCCCACCAAGGCGAUGAUAGGUAGCCGGCCUGAGAGGGUGGACGGCCACAAGGGGAAUGAGAGACGGCCCUUACGCCUACGGGAGGCAGCAGUGGGGAAUAUUGGACAAUGGGGGCAACCCUGAUCCAGCAAUUCGGUGUGCACGAUGAAGGUUUUCGGAUUGUAAAGUGCUUUCAGCAGGGAAGAAAAAAAUGACGGUACCUGCAGAAGAAGCGACGGCUAAAUACGUG